AAAAGACUUCUAUUGGAAUGAAUUUCAGAAAUUCUUUGUGUGGGAUGAAUCAAUGUUAUCUGCUAUUAAGAUGGCAUGGCAACGUAAAGCUGCGGAAUGGUAUAGAGCAUUGAUGUGUAGUUUGAGAAAGGGGAAAGAAAAAUCAAUGCAUGUGUCUGACUCUGCAUAGAAGACAUGGACCGAGGCAUGGAAUUCCCCGGAAUUUAAAACUCGUUGUGAGAAAGCUACCGCAAACCAACUCACGGAGAUUGUAGGACCUGGAUCUGGUAUAUCCCGACACACAGGAGGUUCCAUUUCUCAUGCUUCCGAUGCGGAUAGAUUGCGAUCGAGGCUUGGACAUGAUCCUCGCCCUUUUGAGCUUUUUGAAGUAACUCAUACAAAGAAGGGUACCUCCAUGCUUGUUGAUGCA